rnacentral:lncRNA from 1 species
CGAUUGUCCGACAGGGUUGGUUUUGGCAACAGCUGAUCUGUGACUGGAGUGUGCAUGGUAGGUAGUGACGUAGAGUCCGGAAGGGAUCCGGAAAUGGAGGAUGAAAUGUUUGGCGUGGAUGAAGAAGGAGGGAACGGGAAUAAUGAGUGGAGUUUAGUAGAAAAUCGGAAAAGAAAGAAAAUCUGGAGUAAUACAUCUGAAACUGACAGUGGAAAUGAAAAUCAUCCGAUAAGAGGAAAGAAAGAGGAGUUCAAGGUAAUGAUGAAGUUUGUGGAUGAGUCUUUUAAGAUAAUAAAUCCGCUGAAGCUGUCUAAAGUAAUUAAGGAAACGAUAGGAUCAAUAGAAAGUGUCAAGAAGUUGAGAGAUGGAAGACUAAUCCUAUAUUGUAAGGAUAGUAGGCAACAAAAAGUGGCAUUGAAAAUAAAGUCGAUUUGUGCACAAAAAGUGAUCUGCUCGAUACCGGAAGAAAAGACAUGGGUCAAAGGAGUAAUAACUGGUAUCCCAACUGAAGUGACAGUAGAAAAGAUCAAGAAAAGUCUAACUGGGGCGGCAGUGAUUGAGGUUAAAAGACUGAAAUACAGCAGAAAUAAUGAAAAGGUUGAUAGCCUUUCAGUAAUGAUUCACUUCGAUGAGGAUAAAUUACCGGACAAAGUAUUCUUAGGAUUCAUUAGCUUCCCGGUCAGACUUUAUGUUCCUCCUCCGUUAAGAUGUUUUAAAUGCCAAAAAUUUGGUCAUGUGGCAGCUGUUUGCAGAGGUAAACAACGAUGUGCAAGGUGUGGCGGUGAGCAUGAAUAUGGCAAAUGCGGACAAGGAGUUAACCCAAAGUGUUGUAAUUGUGGAGAAGAACAUAGUGCGGGUUAUGGAGGAUGUAAAGUGAGGAAGCAUGCAGCACAAGUGCAGACUGUAAGAACAGAGGAGGGAUUGUCAUAUUCUGAGGCACUAAAAAAAGUGGGAAAGACUCCAGAGCUAGAAGAGAACAAAAAGAUAGUUCCUACUCAAAAGAUGGAUAAAGUGCAAGAAACAACAAAAGAGAGUAUAAGGGUUUAUGACAAAGUGGCAUUUGUCACGUUUAUGGCGGAAGUGGUGAAUUGUUCUGCACAAACGGAAAGCCGGACAGAGAGAAUCAAAAUUAUAAUAAAAGCAGCUGA